rnacentral:rRNA from 1 species
AAUAGGUCUCAGUUCGGACUGUAGGCUGCACUCGCCUACACGAAGUUGGAAUUGCUAGUAAUCGUGGAUCAGCAUGCCACGGUGAAUACGUUCCCGGGCCUUGUACACACCGCCCGUCACACCAUGAGAGUUGAGAAUACCCGAAGCCCAUGUCAAAGUGGUCGAAGGUAGGCUUGAUGAUUGGGGUGAAGUCGUAACAAGGUAGC